GGAGAUGUAGCUUGGAGGUAGAGCGCUUGCCUGGCACGCAUGAAUUCCUGGGUUCUAUUCCAAGCACUACCA
rnacentral:tRNA from 1 species